rnacentral:lncRNA from 1 species
CACCAUUCUAGAAUUCUCUGAGUUUUUUGAGCUUAGAGCAGAGUUUCUCAAGAGCUGCAAUACUGGCAUUUGAGUCAAGUCGUUCUUUAUUGUUGGUGGUGGAGGGGGCACCCUGUAUAUUGUAGGACGUUGGGCAGCAUCUCUGACUUCUACCUACUAGAUGCCAGUAUCUCAGUUUUCUUAAAAGACUUUUUUUUUUUUUUUUUUUUUUUUGAGAUGGAGUCUUGCUGUGUUGCCUAGGCUGGAGUGCAGUGGCACCAUGUCGACUCACUGCAACCUCCGCCUCCCCGGUUCAAGCGAUUCUCCUGCCUCAGCCUCCUGAGUAGCUGGGAUUACAGGUGAGCACCACCAUGCCCAGCUAAUCGUAAAAGACUUUUCAUAAAACUUCAGAACUCCUUAAAAACUAGUGAAUAGCCAAGGUGAAGAAAGCCCUCAGGCUUCUGACUUUAGACCCCAAUCCCUGGGACUCCCACACUCAGCAAAGAAAGCUGGGUGCCUGCACCCUGGAUCUCUGAGCAAACCUGUCUUAUGGCUGUGGGCAACUCAGGAACAUGAAUUAGCACGAGAAUCUGGAGUUUUUCUUUCCUUUUCUGGGUCUCACUCUGUCACCCAGGCUGGAGUGCAGUGGCGCAGUCAUGGCUCCCUGUAACCUCAACCUCUCAGACUCCAGCAAUCCUCCUGCGACAGCGAAGUUAAUCUUCUGGUUCGGUUCACAAAGUGCAGGAGAGCCUACCAGCUUGAGAGAAAAGGAGUCAUGCUGUAUUUGUUUCCUUGAGUGAAUGGCCACUCAGCUGCUGUGUUUCUCCCUGCAUGUGGCUGAAGUUUACAUUGGAGGGUGACUUCCUGAUUGCCAGUUAGCAUAUGUGUCCGGCUACCAGCCGCCUGACUGGCUGAGGAUGCUCUUUGUUUGUUCAAGGAUGAACGUUCUCCCCCUGCCUUGCAGGAAGAGGGGAGCAAGGUGCGCCCGGGAGACGCGUGACAGUGCCCUGUAAAGCCAGUAGAGGAAAUCUUGUGGAGUGUGAAUGCACAGGCUUAGAUUCCCCUGUCCCUGAGUCGGGGGCAUGUGCUCGUGGAGAAUGACCCUAUCAAGUUCAAGGUGUGGCAUCUCCUGAUCCAGCAACAGGAUUUGUUCCAGAGAAAAAUCCCCAGGUCUUGGGACUGUUGACAGAUGGCCAUGACUAUGCUUAAUGUGGUCAUCAACUGAGAAUGGUCCGUCUCAUCUUUGAGUAUGCAAUUACCUUUAUAGCUGAUUAUGACACCCUCAGAUCAUAUCAUGAGGUGGACAAGAUGAGUCCAUGGCCCAUGCUGAGAACUGGUACUUCUGUCUUCAUAGACUCACUCACCAACCAGAGAUGUACGACGGACCCCAAAUGGUCUGUCAAAAAUGUGAACUUGCACUAAGACAAGACCCAACAUCAGUGACAUUGGACACAAGAUAGAAAUCAGAGAACAGUUACUGUCCAGCAGUUUUAACCACCAAUACCCAUUUAUUUUAAUGGAAAAAAAAA